rnacentral:rRNA from 1 species
CAAUAGCGUAUAUUAAAGUUGUUGCAGUUAAAAAGCUCGUAGUUGAAUUUUUGCUUGCCGCCGAUGUCGGAACUUCCGUACGUUCGGCGGCGUGCAUCCUUGGGUGGAACCUGUGUGGCAUUAGGUUGUCGUGCAGGGGAUGCUCAUCGUUUACUGUGAAAAAAUUAGAGUGUUCAAAGCAGGCUUACGCCGUUGAAUAUAUUAGCAUGGAAUAAUAAGAUAGGACCUUGGUACUAUUUUGUUGGUUUGCGCACCGAGGUAAUGAUUAACAGGGACAGUUGGGGGUAUUCGUAUACCAUUGUCAGAGGUGAAAUUCUUGGAUUUCUGGAAGACGAACUACUGCGAAAGCAUUUACCAAGGAUGUUUUCAUUAA